CAGAGCCCACCUCAUCUGGGAAAAACUACUGCUAAUGAUUUAUGUAUGAUUUAUCACCACCAACCCCACGGUAAAAGAGUGAACUAGCCAGUAUCAACCUGAUUUUUACACCAGAGGCCAGAAACCUCUUUCCUUCCUAUCGCCUGGGGUAACUUAGGGGCGAAUGUUACCUUUUGAACAUGAAACACCCUCAAUCCCUGUAUUUCUUUCUCUUCCCCUUGACUCAUGAAACACCCAGAGGUAAAAAAAUAACAGGGGGUGUGGGAGGCAGACACCCACAUAAAGAAGCAGAAUUUAUGAUUUGUAUCUUACAGAUUUGUUAAUGGGUUUGCUAACACUUCUUUCUUUCAUUGACUUGGUGCUUGAAACUCUCAUAAGCGUGUAAUUUUCAACUCACAGUGUUCCCAGGUGAGGCAUGGUUGUGGCGAUACAGCAGACGGACACCCACAAGUUAUUUCUAACAAUAAUGACCUGCUCCAAGGGUCAUUGCGGACUUUAAUUUUAAAGGGUGAGCUUGAAAUAUUUCACAUCAUUGUGACAUAUGACUAUGCCACAUUUCAAUAAAUGUUUUCUUUCUUUUUUUUUUUUUUUCAAGACAGAGUCUCACUCUGUCACUCAGGCUGGAGUGCAGUGGGGCAAUCUCUGCUCACUGCAACCUCCGCCUCCUGGGUUCCAGCGAUUCUCCUGCCUCAGCCUCCCAAGUAGCUGGGACUACAGUUGUGUGCCACAGGGCUUGGCUAAUUCAAUGAAUGUUUUCUGUCCCAAAUUGAAAAUGUUUAAAGGAGGCAAGAUUCAUACUUUUACAUAACAGAGGGGCAGCUCUUAUCUCCACAUUGCCUAAGAUGUUAUGAUUUUAAUUUCUGCAACGUAGUGACCAUGGCCUUAAAAAAAGUCAGUAAUCACAUUGGACUAUCUCAGUGCGGGUCACAGAACACAAGUUUGUAAUGCUUAAUGACAUCUGUGGGAACUGCUCUGUGAAAACGGAAUUUCUGAGCUGAGAAGUCCACAUCUCUGUUCAUCUACAUGAAUUUAUUAAUCAGUUAACAAAUAAAUACUCAACAUUUAUUCCAUGCAACGGUAACAAAUAUGAGGGAACCAAAAAGUAUAAGACACGGUGCCUGUUUUGAAUUGCUUACAAUGUAACUGAAGAUAAAAAUUACUUCAUAAAAAACCCCAUAUUCAUCCUUGGCCGGGAGCGGUGGCUCCUGGCUGCAGGCAGCUUCUUGAGAAAGGGUCCUGGUUUUGGGGAUACAGAUUUAUAGGAGAUAAAUUGAAACCUUGCAUUCUUUUCUUUUUUUUUUUUUCUGAGACAGGGUCUCACUCUGGAGCCCGGGCUGGAGUGCAGUGGUGUGAUCUUGGCUCACUGCAACCUCCACCUCCCGGGCUCAAGCAAUCCUCUCACUUUAGCCUUUCAAGUAGCUGGGACCACAAGUGUGUACCACCAUGCCCAGCUAAUUUUUUGUAUUUUUGUAGGGACGGGGUCUCACCACAUUGCUCAGGCUCAUCAUGAACUUCUGAGCUCAAGUGAUCCGCCUGCCUCAGCCUCCCAAAGUGCUGGGAUUACAGGCAUGAGCCAUCAUACCUGUUUUUUUUUUUUUUUUUUAAGCUUAAUUGAGGUAUGAUUGUAUGAUUGACUUAAAAUAAAUUGCACAGGUAUACACUUACGAAGCCAUUACCACAAUCGAGAUAAUAAACGUAUCCAUGAUCCCCUAAAAGCCCCCAUUUCUCUCGGUAACCCCGUUCUUCUCCCUCCCUGUGCCUCUCUACCCCCAAGUAACCACUGCUGUCUUUCCAACGCUAUCAAUUGUAUUUUCUAGAAUUUUAUGUAAUGAAAUCAUAGAGUAUACACGUGACAGAACUAUUUGAGCUGCAUCCAUGUUGCGUUAUAUAAGUAGUUAUGCCUUUCCAUGGCUGAGUGGUAUUCUAUGGUAUAUACCACAAUUUCCUUACCUAUUCAUCUAUUAACUGACAACGGGGUUGUGUGAUGGUUAAAUCUGUGUCAACUUGACUGGACUGAAAGAUGUCCAGAUAGUUGGUAAAACAGUGUUUCUGGGUGUAGCUCUGAGGUUGUUUCCAGAAGAGAUGAGCAUUUGAAUCAGUAGACUGAGUAAAGAAGGUCGCCCUCACCAAUGUGGGCAGGCACCAUCCAAUCCAUUGAGGGCUGGAAUAGAACAAAAAGGUGGAAGAAGGGCAGUUUGCCCUCUCUAUUCACUCUGGGACGUCCAUCUUUUUUCUGUGCUCAGAUAGUAGUUCUCCUGGUUCUCAGAAUUAUACUACUGGCUUUUCUGCAUUUUCAGACAGCAGACUGUGGGUCUUCUUGACCUCCAUAAUCUCACGAGCCAAUUCUCUAAUAAAUUACACAAAUACAUAUUUGCCAAGGCUCCCCGGAGUGGUAGA
rnacentral:lncRNA from 1 species